UGACUAGCAGCAUGUUUCACUCUCUUCUACAAUUUAUCAUGGAAAAAGACCAUGUCUAAUGAUUUAGGUACCUGGCCUGUGGAGGCUUAUCCCUGUGUCUGCAGCCACCAAUUUGAUGUAAUUGCUCUUCCAAGCUCCUGACCUGGAAAAGCCCAAGUGACAGCUUCUAUUAGUAUAGUCUAUGAAUUUGGUGACCUGGAAUUCAUUUAGUAGCUUGAAAAAUUGCAUUUCCAUUUGGAUGGGUUAGUAAAGAGUUUUUAUGCCAAAGUAAAAGCAAAGAUAAGAGUGCGUCCGAUAAAAGUCUGGAAUCACUUAUGGAGAAUGUAGCUACAAGUGCCUUGUUAUUCCGGUUGAGCUCAGAAGCCACAGUGAAAAACUGUACAGGAUACUGUCUCACCGAAAACAAUCGCUAGAGUAACCAGAGCGUGGAGAAAGCUGUGGAAGAAGCUCGACCUUGUUUUGCAAAAAAAAAAAAAGGCUUAUGCUGCUGGCAAUAAGUUGUGGAGGCAUAAACCGGACCAA